AUUGUUAUUCUUAAAAAACGAUUAGAGAGCGGCUACAAACGGUUCCCGGGCGGGCUGGCGGUGCCCGCCAUGGGAAAGCGGCUACAAAGGAUCCCCGGGCGGCUGGCGGAGGGAGCCCGCCAUGAGGGCGGCUACAGGAGGGCACGCUUCCUUGGCCCACAGUGGCGGCAGGUAACAGACACGUAAACACAGGAAAUAGCCAUAAGUAUUUAUUAAGGAAGGGGGAGAAAGAAAGAC